ACGAACGCUGGCGGCGUGCCUAAUACAUGCAAGUCGAACGCUUCUUUUUCCACCGGAGCUUGCUCCACCGGAAAAAGAGGAGUGGCGAACGGGUGAGUAACACGUGGGUAACCUGCCCAUCAGAAGGGGAUAACACUUGGAAACAGGUGCUAAUACCGUAUAACAAUCGAAACCGCAUGGUUUUGAUUUGAAAGGCGCUUUCGGGUGUCGCUGAUGGAUGGACCCGCGGUGCAUUAGCUAGUUGGUGAGGUAACGGCUCACCAAGGCGACGAUGCAUAGCCGACCUGAGAGGGUGAUCGGCCACAUUGGGACUGAGACACGGCCCAAACUCCUACGGGAGGCAGCAGUAGGGAAUCUUCGGCAAUGGACGAAAGUCUGACCGAGCAACGCCGCGUGAGUGAAGAAGGUUUUCGGAUCGUAAAACUCUGUUGUUAGAGAAGAACAAGGAUGAGAGUAACUGUUCAUCCCUUGACGGUAUCUAACCAGAAAGCCACGGCUAACUACGUGCCAGCAGCCGCGGUAAUACGUAGGUGGCAAGCGUUGUCCGGAUUUAUUGGGCGUAAAGCGAGCGCAGGCGGUUUCUUAAGUCUGAUGUGAAAGCCCCCGGCUCAACCGGGGAGGGUCAUUGGAAACUGGGAGACUUGAGUGCAGAAGAGGAGAGUGGAAUUCCAUGUGUAGCGGUGAAAUGCGUAGAUAUAUGGAGGAACACCAGUGGCGAAGGCGGCUCUCUGGUCUGUAACUGACGCUGAGGCUCGAAAGCGUGGGGAGCAAACAGGAUUAGAUACCCUGGUAGUCCACGCCGUAAACGAUGAGUGCUAAGUGUGGGAGGGUUUCCGCCCUUCAGUGCUGCAGCUAACGCAUUAAGCACUCCGCCUGGGGAGUACGACCGCAAGGUUGAAACUCAAAGGAAUUGACGGGGGCCCGCACAAGCGGUGGAGCAUGUGGUUUAAUUCGAAGCAACGCGAAGAACCUUACCAGGUCUUGACAUCCUUUGACCACUCUAGAGAUAGAGCUUCCCCUUCGGGGGCAAAGUGACAGGUGGUGCAUGGUUGUCGUCAGCUCGUGUCGUGAGAUGUUGGGUUAAGUCCCGCAACGAGCGCAACCCUUAUUGUUAGUUGCCAUCAUUUAGUUGGGCACUCUAGCAAGACUGCCGGUGACAAACCGGAGGAAGGUGGGGAUGACGUCAAAUCAUCAUGCCCCUUAUGACCUGGGCUACACACGUGCUACAAUGGGAAGUACAACGAGUCGCAAAGUCGCGAGGCUAAGCUAAUCUCUUAAAGCUUCUCUCAGUUCGGAUUGUAGGCUGCAACUCGCCUACAUGAAGCCGGAAUCGCUAGUAAUCGCGGAUCAGCACGCCGCGGUGAAUACGUUCCCGGGCCUUGUACACACCGCCCGUCACACCACGAGAGUUUGUAACACCCGAAGUCGGUGAGGUAACCUUUUGGAGCCAGCCGCCUAAGGUGGGAUAGAUGAUUGGGGUG
rnacentral:rRNA from 1 species